rnacentral:rRNA from 1 species
UGGGGAAUAUUGGACAAUGGGCGAAAGCCUGAUCCAGCCAUGCCGCGUGUGUGAAGAAGGUCUUCGGAUUGUAAAGCACUUUAAGUUGGGAGGAAGGGCAGUAAGCGAAUACCUUGCUGUUUUGACGUUACCGACAGAAUAAGCACCGGCUAACUCUGUGCCAGCAGCCGCGGUAAUACAGAGGGUGCAAGCGUUAAUCGGAAUUACUGGGCGUAAAGCGCGCGUAGGUGGUUCGUUAAGUUGGAUGUGAAAGCCCCGGGCUCAACCUGGGAAAUGCAUCCAAAACUGGCGAGCUAGAGUAGGGCAGAGGGUGGUGGAAUUUCCUGUGUAGCGGUGAAAUGCGUAGAUAUAGGAAGGAACACCAAUGGCGAAGGCGACCACCUGGGCUCAUACUGACACUGAGGUGCGAAAGCGUGGGGAGCAAACAGG